UUUUACACUGGAAAAAAUAAGCUGCAUAGGAAGAUUAGGCAAUGUAUUAGCUGUGAGAGUACAAAUAGUUUGCUUCUGUUGUUGAUGUAAUUGGUUUUUCCAGAUUUGCAUAACCUCCACUUGAAUUCUCUUAAAAUACUGAAUGUGCUGGAAUGGUACGCUGUCCAAAUCCCAAGUGGUAACUGUGUUCAUCCCACAACCACUGAUUUCUAGCAGCACCGAGCUGAGUAACUGUAGUGAAGAGGUCAAAAGUAUAUAAAGAAUGACAAGUUUUCAAGAUACCUGGAGGACCUGGUAAACCUUCCCGACCUGGAUCACCUCGUGUACCAUUUAGCCCUGGGAAUCCCAUUGGACCUGGAUCACCUGGGAAUCCUCUUGCACCUUUUGCACCUAAAUUAUAUGAAAGAAAGACCAGGAAAUCCAACUUGACCCGAAAAACCCUGGUGUUACAUGCAAUGAAAUAAAGAAGAAACAGAACCACUUAAGAAACAGAAAAGCUUCUGUAAAUUAUUCCUUCUUUAGUAAUCCCAUGCUGGCCAGGAGUUCCUGGAAAGCCAGGAGGGCCAGGGGGACCAGUAGAGCCCCUUCUCCUUUCCUCGUCCAAAAGGCAUGUACUGCAAUCCCCUUCUUCACCUAAGGAAAGGAUUGGAAAGAGAAGAAAGAAUGGGGCUCCAGCAGGACCAGGUGGACCACGGAGUCCUGGUGUGCCAUGUUUACCCGGAAAGCCAGGCGGGCCUGCCUGAUAAGCAGGAGAUCCUGAUUCACCUUUUUCACCUUUCGGUCCCAUUUCUCCAGGAAUGCAUGGAUGCCUUUUGAUUAGCAAUCCAGCUUCAGCAGGACAGACAAAAAAGCCACCUGCCUGCAGAACAGUGAUCAGAGCACUCUCUUGGAAGGCAAUUAUACCUUCUGGAACAGUUCAGCCAACCAGUCUUUUAAGGAGUCAAAUCCUCAGAAUUUCAUGCUUUUGAUCUAUGUAGAAGGUAGU